rnacentral:lncRNA from 1 species
UUCUGGUUGUGCCUCCCAAUUUUUGAAGUUUUAUUGAUGUCUUUUACUUCUACAUCAUAUUGAUUUUAAAAUCUACAUUCUCCCUCUACUCAGUGAACCUUCCCUUGUAACAAAGAUUAAAAAGAAAAUUAGUUUAACAAAAUAACCAAAACAUAAACCAUGUCAGAUAGCAUAUCAGCACCCCACACUCAAAAGGAAGGAGAUGUAUUUUCUUAUCUUGCUUUUGACACUGUACAUGAUUUCACAAUCAUGAACAACUGUUUUGUGUAUCCACAUUUUUUACUGAGAUUUGACUGGAGACACCAACUAAGUUCUCUUUGCCUGACUUUCUUCAGGUAGUAGAAUUCUAGAGUUUAAAACUACUCCAAAACACAUUUCCAAAAUAGAAAUUUUAUAAUUAUAGGGAGCCUAAUAAGAACCCAGUCUUCGGAAAACACAGUUUGUUCUGCCUGGGAGCUCCCUGAAUAGAUGCACGGGGAGUUGGCUUUCAGAGAAGUGGAAUGAAGAGCUCUGCCCAUCUUUUCAGAGAAUGCACAGAAGAGCCAUGCAAGAGGUGAACAGGAUUAAAAUUCAUUUGAACAUCUCAAGUCACACAUUUGCUCUGGAGAGUCAAAGAGACACCUGGUCACUCCCCAAACAAAUUCUGGAGACAGGUUCAACUCAUUCACCCUGGGAUCUGCACUUUGUAAACAGAAAUGGGGAAGAUUCUGCAGAUGAGAGAUGUGGAACUCACAGUGAGCCCGUGGCAGCUAUCACACCUAUUUUGGCUUAGGUGAGGCUGAACCUUGGCCCUGAGCCUCUGGCAUUCUCUUCUGUUCUGCGUGCCGUCCCCAAACAGAAGCGACCGAAUGUGGAGCUGUGUGUGUCUGUCCGUCCUGGGAGGCAGCCUCAAGAGCGUAAGAAGUUGGGAAAUGUGACUGGCAAGCAGGAGUGUUCUGCAGCUGUAAUCUUCUCUGCGAAGAUAAUCACCAGCAGGUGGAGGAGCUCCACCUUUGGUCCCGCUUGACAGGAGACAUUCUUAAGGGAAUUGUUUGGACAGCGCUGAGCCAAAAUUAAAUAUGAGAUGCCUAUUCAGCAUUCUUACAAGUGGCUUCGUGCUUGAUGGUUUUAAAUCUUAACAUCAGAGGAGAGUAUCACAGUAGUUAUGUCACUUCUGAGGCUUGUGAGUCUUCUAAAGUAUUUCUUUUGUGUAGAGGGAAUACAUGAAUUACACUGUGCAUGGAGGAACAUUUUUACUUUUCUUUCUUUUGGGGGUGGGUGCGAGAGAACUUAGAUAUGAGCCAACAUAUGUUUUAAGUAAUUUUCCCUGGAGUUCUGGCAUGAGGAUGUCAAGACUGAGAAUGUGUAAGAUAAAAAGGGCCUUCCUUCCCCCUCUCUUCAGAGGCUGUAUUUCCAAGGCUUAAACCUGGUUCCCAUGC